rnacentral:piRNA from 1 species
UGGGAUUAAAGGCACCCUAUCCCUUUGC